ACACUUAUAUAUACUGAAGCCCGGUUUAAAAAUGACGGGUAACAUGUGAAGAGAACGAGUAAAUGUCUGUAACCCACUAAGACAUGCAUACAUGACGAAGUCUGGCUUUGAAGGACCUUAAAGGCUGAAAAUUGAAUGUUGAAAUAAAUUAAAAAACUAUCUGAUUUAUGGUUUUGCAAUAAAGAUCCGAACACGACUAUUUUAAAAAAUUUGGGACUUUUGUUUUCAUCCUUCCAAAAUCAUACGCAAUGUAUUGAUGUAACGCUCAUCGGGUUCUAUCAGAAUAGGAUGUUACCUAUGCGAUCUAUGCAAACAUUUUUUUAGCAGGAAGAAGAGGUUUUAAUGGAUCGACAUGGUUAAGUAAUGAGUUUCCUGUUAAAUAUGUCCAGCUGCCUUUGAAAAGGCUAUUAAUCUAAUAUUAAUGAUUAUGGUACAAAAAAUAUUACAAU